GAUGAACGCUGGCGGCGUGCCUAAUACAUGCAAGUCGAGCGAACAGAUGAGGAGCUUGCUCCUCUGACGUUAGCGGCGGACGGGUGAGUAACACGUGGAUAACCUACCUAUAAGACUGGGAUAACUUCGGGAAACCGGAGCUAAUACCGGAUAAUAUAUUGAACCGCAUUGUUCAAUAGUGAAAGACGGUUUUGCUGUCACUUAUAGAUGGAUCCGCGCCGCAUUAGCUAGUUGGUAAGGUAACGGCUUACCAAGGCAACGAUGCGUAGCCGACCUGAGAGGGUGAUCGGCCACACUGGAACUGAGACACGGUCCAGACUCCUACGGGAGGCAGCAGUAGGGAAUCUUCCGCAAUGGGCGAAAGCCGGACGGAGCAACGCCGCGUGAGUGAUGAAGGUCUUCGGAUCGUAAAACUCUGUUAUUAGGGAAGAACAAAUGUGUAAGUAACUAUGCACGUCUUGACGGUACCUAAUCAGAAAGCCACGGCUAACUACGUG
rnacentral:rRNA from 1 species